CACAGUGACUGCCCUGGCUUUCUUUGCUUUGCCUCCUGUCUGUGUUUGAAAUCCCGAAAUCACCGCCUUGAGCUCUGAAGCCCAGCGGCUCCGAGGCUGCAAGCCUCUCCGCUGGCCCCAGAUGUGCAGCAUGCAGCUUGAAUCUCUGAGGACUCUGGUGGUGGAUGCCAACUCCAACUCACAGUGGGAAUCUGGCCCACAGGACCCAGCCUGCCACCCUCCAGGGAGCCGUGGAGAUUUCAGGAUUUCUCCUCUGCGAAAUGGGGAUAACAGCUCCCUCUUCAUCCGGUUAUGGUCAGGGCUGACCUAAGGGGGCUGAGGGUGAAGGCCACAGGCUGAGAAGCUCUUGCCAGUGGUCAGUGAGGAGCAGCAAAUUCGGGUCUUGGCACUUGAACUGUGGGAGGAUCAAUGCUGCUUGAAGCCAUCGGUUUCUGGGAAUUUGUCACAGCAGCCCAGGAAACACAUGCAGAAGGAGUCACCCUCUUUGGUUUCUGAAAUGCGGACACACGUUACAAUGGAAACGAGCACUUGGGGCUCCCUGUCUCGGAAAAGUUGUUGAAUCAAUGCACGUUGAUUGCUUCAGCAAUCUAGGAAAUACUAUGUAAGUUUUCUUUAAACAAUGCCAGUAUGGCCACAGCGCCCCCCAGAAUUCUACUAUUCAUUCACUCACUCAUUUACCUCAUUUACUCAUUCAUUCAUUCAUUCAUUCAUUCAUUCAUUCAGUGUUCCGUCCCUGAUGAUUUGGUUAUGACCAAAGCAGACACAAUCGCUGACCUCAGGGAGCAUGUGUUCUGGUGCAAGAACUGACGCUGAGGUCCCCCUGACUCUUUGCUUAUCCUUCUGACAGCAAAAGUUGUCAGGAAAACAGACAGAAACAAAAAAUGCCCACUCUGGACUGAAUUGUAAAUCUUACCCCUUUCUCCUCACCCAAAGCCCAACAAAGCAAUUUGAAAUUCCAAACCUGUGACCACUGGACAAGAUCACCUUUCUCCCACUGAGAAGAAGAUCAGCGUUGGCUCGGGCCAAGUCUGGGAGACAGACAAGGCCUCCUUUCAACAUCGUGCCUCCAGGGGAACCAGGCCAAGUAUCGGCCCUCCAGAGACAGCUGCAGCCCUUGGAGGCCUCCCCACUGAGUCCACACCCCUGGCCCAGGGCACUCAGGCUAGCUGACCGGCCCUGCUCCCUGGCCAGCCUCAUUUCCUCCUGUUCUCUUGCUUGGUGCCCCUAGCAGCCGUCUUGCACCUGGCCACUGCUUCCCACGCCAGGGCCUUUGCCUUUGCUGUUCCCCUGCCUGGCAUGGUCUCGUCAUUCAGGGCUCAGCCUGAAUGUCACCUCCUCCUGGAAGCCUUACCCUCAUCUCGUUAUGUCCUACCCCAUCACCCUAUUUCUUUCCCUUGGGUCACCAGUAAGAACCUGGGUUGAGCUUGUGCAGCCGUCUCAUUGUCUUAGCCUCACGAAACUGUAAACCCUUUGACAAAAGGGAUCUGUCUGGUUUGUUUGACGUGUAACCCCAGCUUCCAGCCUAGCACAGAGAAAGCUCCAUGGAGACACUGACUGUCAGAUGACUGCAGACCUCCCCACAAGGAGGAGGGAAGCUGGCCUCCAAGGAGGCGCAUCCCACAGUGCAGUGGUCUCUGGCCAGGGUGGGUCAUUACGCCAUUGGUUUAUAGCGCCAUUUGCUUCGGCCCCUUUUGGUGGCAUCCCAGGGUUUAAAGUGACCAGGCAGCUAGUGUGGGGAGACGGGACACAGCUGUCUGAGGUCAGGGGGUCUGUAUGUGCCUCUCCGGCAGGGAACAGCCUCGGCCGUCAGAAGCCAGGUUUCAGCAUUUAGGAUGCAGCCAACAGCCAAAUUGCUUUCUUGGUUUUAUAUAUAAGGGCUUUUUUUGGUACCAUAAGGGCGGGUGGACAGGGCUGCCUUUGCUUCCUGGAGGGUCUGGUUCCUUUCGGGGAAGGUCUCAGUUGGCCACUGGAGUAACAGCACUGCGUCGGCCCAUGUGGCCAGCCAGCAUCCCUGUGCUCAUGGCUAAGGACAGGCUGUUACUCUGUUCUGCGGGUCUUGAAGUCAUUUGGUCAAGUGGACUUCAGAAGGAGAGAGAGAGAAGGACAGACAGCAUCCAUGGAGACUGCCACAGAGAAUGGAAAGAGAAUGGGAUCUGCAGUCUGAUGGGCUGGCAUAUCUCAGCAGCAGCAACAACAACACAAUAAUAUGGAAUUCAGUCCAGGCACGGUGGUUCCCGCCUGUAAU
rnacentral:lncRNA from 1 species